rnacentral:misc_RNA from 1 species
AACGCAUAUUGCACCUUUUGGUAUUCCGAAAGGUACACUUGUUCGAGCGUCAUUUAAAACUUCAAGUUUAACUUGGUGUUGAAAGCUAUCUAAGCUUUUGAAACUUCUAAGCACUUUCUUUGUCUAGAGAGCAACGAACUGCAAUUCAGACAAUCGGAAAUAUGAAUGACCCUUGACCUCGAAUCAAGUGGGAUUACCCGCUGAACUUAA